UAAAGUUAGUAUAAAUAAACGAAGGUAUGAGUCGACUGAACCAUUCCUGACUUCGUUGCAGAACAUUUCGUCAUCUUCUCUCUUCACUUGUAACCAGCAACUAAAACCCAAUCACAAUGGCCAGGGCUCUGUUCUUCGUUCUUGCCGCCAUCCUCAUCGUGGCCACCCUCGCCGAGGAGCUCGAGGAGUAUGAGAACACCAUGGAGGACUUCUUCAUGGCUGAGAAGAGGGGACAGAACAUGAAGAAGUACAAGUCUUGCGACGCAUUCGGUCAAACGUGCUUCUGCAGCAGGAGGACCUCCAAAAUCGUGUUCUGCAGUGGUGCUGGAAACGGUGAUAGCAUGUAAACACACUAUUCGAAACACUGGAUACUGAACGAAUCUCGAACCAACUCCUGACUGACUCCGAAUCGCUUCCGAACUGACUCCGAAUCGCCUCCGAACCGUCCGCUUAAAGACGGAAAGAAAGCAACAAUUAAAAAUGGGGAAUAUAUGUUUAUAGAAUGGCCGAGCUGUAUUACAUGUAUUUCCCUCUCACUCAUUUGUAAUGAUCAGCAAAUAAACAAAAGCAUAAGGAAAUUAUUA